rnacentral:rRNA from 1 species
UUUAAAGAGAGUUUGAUCCUGGCUCAGGACGAACGCUGGCGGCGUGCCUAAUACAUGCAAGUCGAACGAACGGAGGAAGAGCUUGCUCUUCCAAUGUUAGUGGCGGACGGGUGAGUAACACGUGGGCAACCUGCCUGUAAGUUGGGGAUAACUCCGGGAAACCGGGGCUAAUACCGAAUGAUAAGAUGUGGCGCAUGCCACGCCUUUGAAAGAUGGUUUCGGCUAUCGCUUACAGAUGGGCCCGCGGUGCAUUAGCUAGUUGGUAGGGUAAUGGCCUACCAAGGCAACGAUGCAUAGCCGACCUGAGAGGGUGAUCGGCCACACUGGGACUGAGACACGGCCCAGACUCCUACGGGAGGCAGCAGUAGGGAAUCUUCCGCAAUGGACGAAAGUCUGACGGAGCAACGCCGCGUGUAUGAAGAAGGUUUUCGGAUCGUAAAGUACUGUUGUUAGAGAAG